CCUCCCCAACUCAACCUCAUCUUCCUCGCCCAACCUAACAUCAUCAUCUCCCAACUCAACGCUCUUCCUCCCCCAACUCAACCUCAUCUUCCUCGCCCAACUCAACACAAUCAUCUCCCAACUCAACCUCAUCUUCCUCCCCAACAUCAUCUUCCUCCCCAACUCAACAUCAUCUUCCUCUUCCAAUUCAUCACGCUCUUCCUCCUCCAACUCAACCUCAUCUUCCUCCCCAACUCAUCAUCAUCUUCCUCUUCCAACCCAACACAAUCAUCUCCCAACUCAACUCUUCCUCCCCAAAAUCAUCUUCCUCCCCCAACCCAACCUCAUCUUCCUCCCCCACUCAAUGUCAUCUUCAUCCCCAACCCAACCUCAUCUUCCUCUUCCAACUCAUCAUCAUCAUCUCCCAACUCAACGCCCUCUUCCUCCCCAACAUCAUCUUCCUCCCCAUCAACCUCAUCUUCCUCCCCAACCUCAUCUUCCUCACCCAACUCAACCUCAUCUUCCUCUUCCAACUCAACAUCAUCUUCAUCCCCAACUCAUCAUCAUCUUCCUCCCCCAACUCAACCUCAUCUUCCUCACCCAACUCAAUGUCAUCAUCUCCCAACUCAACGCCCUCUUCCUCCCCAAUGUCAUCUUCCUCACCCACUCAUCAUCAUCUUCCUCACCCAACUCAACCUCAUCUUCAUCCCCAACUCAACGCUCUUCCUCCCCAACCUCAUCUUCCUCCCCAACUCAACAUCAUCUUCCUCCCCAACCCAACCUCAUCUUCCUCCCCCAACUCAACCUCAUCUUCAUCCCCAACUCAUCAUCAUCUUCCUCACCCAACCCAACGCAAUCAUCUCCCAACUCAACGCUCUUCCUCCCCAACAUCAUCUUCCUCCCCAUCAACCUCAUCUUCCUCCCCAACCUCAUCUUCCUCACCCAACUCAACCUCAUCUUCCUCUUCCAACUCAACAUCAUCUUCAUCCCCAACUCAUCAUCAUCUUCCUCCCCCAACUCAACCUCAUCUUCCUCACCCAACUCAAUGUCAUCAUCUCCCAACUCAACGCCCUCUUCCUCCCCAAUGUCAUCUNNNNNNNNNNCUUUUAACCAUUUCCACCUUUUUUAA
rnacentral:lncRNA from 1 species